rnacentral:rRNA from 1 species
UACGAAGGAUGCAAGCGUUAUCCGGAUUUAUUGGGUUUAAAGGGAGCGUAGGCGGCUUUAUAAGUCAGUGGCGAAAUCUUAUCGCUUAACGAUAAACGUGCCAUUGAUACUGUAGAGCUUGAGUACAGAUGCCGUUGGCGGAAUGUGUCAUGUAGCGGUGAAAUGCAUAGAUAUGACACAGAACACCGAUUGCGAAGGCAGCUGACGAAACUGUAACUGACGCUGAGGCUCGAAAGCGUGGGGAUCAAACAGG